rnacentral:rRNA from 1 species
GACGAACGCUGGCGGCGUGCUUAACACAUGCAAGUCGAACGGAAAGGCCCUGCUUUUGUGGGGUGCUCGAGUGGCGAACGGGUGAGUAACACGUGAGUAACCUGCCCUUGACUUUGGGAUAACUUCAGGAAACUGGGGCUAAUACCGGAUAGGAGCUCCUGCUGCAUGGUGGGGGUUGGAAAGUUUCGGCGGUUGGGGAUGGACUCGCGGCUUAUCAGCUUGUUGGUGGGGUAGUGGCUUACCAAGGCUUUGACGGGUAGCCGGCCUGAGAGGGUGACCGGCCACAUUGGGACUGAGAUACGGCCCAGACUCCUACGGGAGGCAGCAGUGGGGAAUAUUGCACAAUGGGCGGAAGCCUGAUGCAGCAACGCCGCGUGCGGGAUGACGGCCUUCGGGUUGUAAACCGCUUUCGCCUGUGACGAAGCGUGAGUGACGGUAAUGGGUAAAGAAGCACCGGCUAACUACGUGCCAGCAGCCGCGGUGAUACGUAGGGUGCGAGCGUUGUCCGGAUUUAUUGGGCGUAAAGGGCUCGUAGGUGGUUGAUCGCGUCGGAAGUGUAAUCUUGGGGCUUAACCCUGAGCGUGCUUUCGAUACGGGUUGACUUGAGGAAGGUAGGGGAGAAUGGAAUUCCUGGUGGAGCGGUGGAAUGCGCAGAUAUCAGGAGGAACACCAGUGGCGAAGGCGGUUCUCUGGGCCUUUCCUGACGCUGAGGAGCGAAAGCGUGGGGAGCGAACAGGCUUAGAUACCCUGGUAGUCCACGCUGUAAACGGUGGGUACUAGGUGUGGGGUCCAUUCCACGGGUUCCGUGCCGUAGCUAACGCUUUAAGUACCCCGCCUGGGGAGUACGGCCGCAAGGCUAAAACUCGAAGGAAUUGACGGGGCCCCGCACAAGCGGCGGAGCAUGCGGAUUAAUUCGAUGCAACGCGUAGAACCUUACCUGGGUUUGACAUGGAUCGGGAGUGCUCAGAGAUGGGUGUGCCUCUUUUGGGGUCGGUUCACAGGUGGUGCAUGCCUGUCGUCAGCUCGUGUCGUGAGAUGUUGGGUUAAGUCCCGCAACGAGCGCAACCCUUGUUCACUGUUGCCAGCACGUUAUGGUGGGGACUCAGUGGAGACCGCCGGGGUCAACUCGGAGGAAGGUGGGGAUGACGUCAAGUCAUCAUGCCCCUUAUGUCCAGGGCUUCACGCAUGCUACAAUGGCUGGUACAGAGAGUGGCGAGCCUGUGAGGGUGAGCGAAUCUCGGAAAGCCGGUCUCAGUUCGGAUUGGGGUCUGCAACUCGACCUCAUGAAGUCGGAGUCGCUAGUAAUCGCAAAUCAGCAACGCUGCGGUGAAUACGUUCCCGGG